AUGUGUAUGUUGGGGUUGGGUUAGUGAUGGGAAGUCUGCAGUUUUAUUAACCAGGUGAGACCCAGACUAUGAUACAGGUGGGCAUGUGCAGCCGUCAGAGACCCCUGAGUGAGAAUGGAAAGUGGGUGGCCUAAAUGACAUUGUACAAAAAAGAUUAACCUUGAUUUGCUCUCUUCCACUUCUUGCCUUCCAUGUGGACUAAUAAAUUAGAGAGACCAAAGAAAUAGUUUCAUCUAAGAAAUAUGAAAGAAAAUUGUGACUUCUGCUACCCAUCAUAUAACUUCAGUCCUCUUUUCAUUUUCAAAUGGUUUAGGGAAAACUUCAGAUGUGGGUGGAUGUUUUCCCCAAGAGUUUGGGGCCACCAGGCCCUCCUUUCAACAUCACACCCCGGAAAGCCAAGAAAUACUACCUGCGUGUAAUCAUCUGGAACACCAAGGACGUUAUCUUGGACGAGAAAA
rnacentral:sRNA from 1 species